AGUAAGAUGGCCGAGAUUUAGGCGGUAAAUUGUAAAUUUAUUUACGGGUUUAUACCCUCUUAUUA
rnacentral:tRNA from 1 species